rnacentral:snRNA from 1 species
GUCUCUUUGGAGACAUCCUAUAAAAUUGGAACGAUAUAGAGAAGACUAGCAUGGGCCCUGCGCAAGGAUGACACACACAAAUUAAGAGUUUUAUAUGGUAUGA